rnacentral:rRNA from 1 species
CACGGCGCACGGGUGCGUAACACGUGGGCAAUCUGCCCUCCGAUGGGGAAUAACCCCGCGAAAGCGGGGCUAAUACCGCAUAACAUUCCUUGAGCGAUGGUUUGAGGAUUCAAAGCAGCAAUGCGUCGGAGGAGGAGCCCGCGCCCGAUUAGCUAGUUGGUGAGGUAAUGGCUCACCAAGGCAAUGAUCGGUAGCUGGUCUGAGAGGAUGAUCAGCCACACUGGAACUGAGACACGGUCCAGACUCCUACGGGAGGCAGCAGUGGGGAAUCUUGCACAGUGGGCGAAAGCCUGAUGCAGCGACGCCGCGUGGGGGAUGAAGCUUCUCGGAGUGUAAACCCCUUUCGCCUGGGACGAAUGCCCGCAAGGGAGUGACGGUACCAGGAUAAGAAGCCCCGGCUAACUACGUGCCAGCAGCCGCGGUAAGACGUAGGGGGCCAGCGUUGUUCGGAAUUACUGGGUGUAAAGGGUUCGUAGGCGGUGUGGCAAGUUGGAGUGAAAUCUCUGGGCUCAACCCAGAGGCUGCUUCCAA